CAAGUCGAGCGAACAGAUAAGGAGCUUGCUCCUUUGACGUUAGCGGCGGACGGGUGGGUAACACGUGGAUAACCUACCUAUAAGACUGGGAUAACUUCGGGAAACCGGAGCUAAUACCGGAUAACAUAUUGAACCGCAUGGUUCAAUAGUGAAAGGCGGCUUUGCUGUCACUUAUAGAUGGAUCCGCGCCGUAUUAGCUAGUUGGUAAGGUAACGGCUUACCAAGGCAACGAUACGUAGCCGACCUGAGAGGGUGAUCGGCCACACUGGAACUGAGACACGGUCCAGACUCCUACGGGAGGCAGCAGUAGGGAAUCUUCCGCAAUGGGCGAAAGCCUGACGGAGCAACGCCGCGUGAGUGAUGAAGGUCUUCGGAUCGUAAAACUCUGUUAUCAGGGAAGAACAAAUGUGUAAGUAACUGUGCACAUCUUGACGGUACCUGAUCAGAAAGCCACGGCUAACUACGUGCCAGCAGCCGCGGUAAUACGUAGGUGGCAAGCGUUAUCCGGAAUUAUUGGGCGUAAAGCGCGCGUAGGCGGUUUUUUAAGUCUGAUGUGAAAGCCCACGGCUCAACCGUGGAGGGUCAUUGGAAACUGGAAAACUUGAGUGCAGAAGAGGAAAGUGGAAUUCCAUGUGUAGCGGUGAAAUGCGCAGAGAUAUGGAGGAACACCAGUGGCGAAGGCGACUUUCUGGUCUGUAACUGACGCUGAUGUGCGAAAGCGUGGGGAUCAAACAGGAUUAGAUACCCUGGUAGUCCACGCCGUAAACGAUGAGUGCUAAGUGUUAGGGGGUUUCCGCCCCUUAGUGCUGCAGCUAACGCAUUAAGCACUCCGCCUGGGGAGUACGACCGCAAGGUUGAAACUCAAAGGAAUUGACGG
rnacentral:rRNA from 1 species